rfam:Polysphondylium pallidum PN500 unplaced genomic scaffold PPL_scaffold3, whole genome shotgun sequence.
GCUCUUUUGGUGUAGUGGUUAUCACAUGACCUUUACACGGUCAGGGUCGUGGGUUCGAUCCCCACAAGGAGUA